rnacentral:lncRNA from 1 species
UUUUUUUUUUUUUUUUUCCAAAAAAAUGUAAAUUAAAAUAAUUCUAAACUCCUUAACCAGUUGAUCCCCAUUCAGGGAGUCUGUCCUCUUGGAGCAAAAUUGUGUACAUCAAAACAUGAGAAAAAAUCUGAACGAAGAGGAAUUGUGACGUAAACUUGACUAUGCCUCCGUGGCUCCAUUAGGUAACAAUUAAGGUUGUUAUUAAAGAACGAUAUUAAGUAGCUUAGGAAAAAUGCAAAGAGCAUAGCCUCAAGAGAAAAAAGCUAGAAAUAAAACCGACUGCAAGAAAGAAUCUCAGCUCUCUUACCAAAUGUGGCAGCUAGCUGGACAAUUAGAAGGCAGUAUUCUGGAAGGGUUGAGUCGUUACCUGUGGAUGGAGAGAUCGUAGGAAAUCUCCUUUCUUCUUUCCUUCCUUUGUAUAUUUAUUCCAAUCAGAAUGGGGCAGGGUUGGGGGCGGGGAGUUGGUACCGAAGUAGAGAGCCUAGGUAAUCCCCUCACAGAUGACAGCCUCUCUAAAGCUACCCGGUUUGUGACGUGCCUCCCUGAGCCCCAGGGCACGGAGCCAUUCCUUCCAGCUCGUGAUGGAGCUGAAGCUGUACCCCACAGCCACAGGUGGUAACAAUGCCCCCAACCCAGAACCAUCUCCACCGAGGGCCAUGGGCCUUCUCAGCAGGAGAGGUCAAGGUGACCCCAGGAAGGAAGGCUUCUUGCAGGCUAUGGGAUUUGAACUUGGUCUUGAAGGGUAUGAAGGUUUCGAUGGAUAGAAAGAAGGAAACUUAACCUGAAGCCUCUAGUCAUUUCUAGCUCUUUAAUGAGGAGCUUUAACCCCCAUUCUUGAAGGUCUGUCGCCCACUGGUGCCGUAUCUAGCUGUCGGUGGUUCUUGGUGGGAAGCGUGCUACACUGAGCCGGUUCCUGGUAGGAUCCCUGUGUAUAAGCAUAGACGUGACUCCAGUAGCUACGGGUUGCUGAGCGCUCACUCCGCACUUUCCCCGCCUGGCCUCAUUAAUGCUCACGGGAGCCCUGCUAUAAAUUGCAGGUGGGAAAACUGAGGCUCUGAAAGACCCCCUAAGACAAUGCGUAUGUGUUAGAGCUAUAAGUGGAACCCAGGCCAGUCAGCUCCGACGUCUGUGACAGGAAGCCUUGGAUGCUGCCUUGUGGGAUUAUUGUCAGUGCCCCUUCCCACCUAUUACUCAUCUGUUCUCCUCACACCUGGUGAGAGAAUCAGGACCCUCCUUAUCCUGGAUCCAUUUUCUGGAUGACAACAGUGAGGUCCUGAGAUGGAUUCAUUGACUCAGCAAGUAUCUGAGUGUUGGAUGAAUAAAUACAAUGCCACAUGGCCCCUCGCGGAGGCGUUGUCCAUACUCAUGGAGCUCUCAAAAUGGACUUGAUUGCAGAGCCGGGAGGCUCUGGGGUCUUUGGGGGGAGACUAGUGCCUUAGUCCUGCAGCCUUCCAUUCACUCCCACUGUCAGUGUGGAAACCUUAUCUUCAAGAGGAGAGACCUCGGAGCAAACCCCUGUGUCUCUGGGCCUCCCUCUCUCUCUAAAAAAUGACAAUGCUGAAUUCAGCUAUUUCCAAAGUCUCCAAUGCUCUAAGGUGACUCUGUGUCACCCCAUCAAAAGAUACAGUUCCUUGUAACAGGGCGGCAGGAUGCAUCACACAAUGAAAGAUGAGGUGAGAGAAGCCUUGCCACCCGUCCGGCUUACUUCGUAUGCAGGUCAAAACAGGUGAAACUCACCUGUGGAGACAAAAGUCAGGAUCCUGGUCACUCUGGGAGGGGAUGGGGCCUGGGAGAUAAGAGGGUGCUUCCAGGAGGGUGGUUGUGCUCCGUGCGUGGACCCGAAUGCCGAUUCCACAGGUUGUUGGCUGUGUGAUGUUCUGUCUACCUGUAUGCUUAGGAAUUGGGGCACUUUUCUUUAAAUAUUAUGAAAAAAAAAUUCAGGCAGCAUCAAAAGAGAGUGACAUGGUGGGACAUGUUCCUGAUGGGUGUCGGGGAGAGGGCAGGGGCUCCAGACUGACUUUGUGACUAGGGCGACUCCCCUCUCUGAGCAGUAGGGGGUCGCCAGGGACCACCGCAGCAUUUGACAAAAGGGUAGUGAACGCGGAAGGGGCAGUGCAGGCCCUGCCUCCAUUUCCCCCGAGCCCGGAGCCCGGAGCCCUGUGAGGGAGCACGCUCUGCUCUCGCAAGCACUCAACAGGUGGCAGUCUUCCCCCAGCCUCGGCAAGCUGCGGGUGCCAGCGGGGCUGCCUUUUCCCGGCAGCCUUAGCCGGGAUGCUCCUCUCCAGAGAAGGUCUUUCCCUUCCCCGGAGGAGGGUCUUCUGCCAGGGCUCCCAACUCUAAUAUCCUGCGCCUGGCCACCCUACCAGGGCUCCCAGGAUCCCCAGGAGGAGCCGGGGACUCUGCCCCUUGGUCCCCUCCUUUAUGGAGAAACUCUCCAGGGGCCCCUCUGCCGGCCUCAGCUGGUGGGGGGUCCCAGACCUCGCUCAGGGAGGCUCCUCCUUCUGCAGGGCGGGCUCCGAAAACAAGAGGCAGAAAUUUCUGGGAACUGGGGUGACGGCUCCAACAGAGAAAGGAGUAUGAAUAUUUCAUUAAGGUGGUUCAAGUUAUCAAACAACAUGACAAAACCAAAUGUGUUGGCAGGAAUCUGAGAAGCACAUUAACAUGGGUAAAAAUAGUGGAAAAAGAGGCCCAGAGUGGGGACAGCCUCAGGGCGAGCCCCCGAGGGGUGCUGAGCAGAGGGCCCAGUUCUGCCAGCCCCUCCAGGGUGGCCUGAAGUGCUCCCCCCACUCCCCCCACUCCAAACACAUUCCAGAGCGGGGCUCAGAAAUGGCAGGACCUGGGGAGGGGGGUCUUUCCCCACCUCAGGGACUCUGGCUUUUGAGUCUGGGGGUUCCAGAAGCUGAGGGGCUCUUAGGCACUGCUCCCCUGGUCUGAGGGGCACAAGAGGCUGAAAGAGGCUUUGCACCCAGAGCUACCCCAGGAGGCGGCCCUUGAGUCUCCCAAGUCCGAGCAGGGGAUCAAGGUCAGACGUACUGAGACCUGUUUGUCACCGUGAGGAUGGGCUCCACGUGGGGUCCCCUGCCACCUCUGGACCACCACCAGGCCAGCUGUUUCCCAGGCCUUUCCCUGACGUGUCCCCUCUGGCUGAAGGACAGGAGCACACAAAGGCCCCUUUGUUCAGCUUCCACCGAAAGCUCUUAAGACAUCUUGCCUCUGUAUCUUGUGUGUCUCCCUUCAUACAACUCAAGGCCACUUGUGUAGAGACUACUUGUGUGUAAUUUCUGUAUGAAAUAGUAACAUAGCCACAUGCAUUGAACUUAGCACUCUGCAUAUUUAAUUUCUCAUAAAGCUCUGAUGUAGAUAAUAUUAUUAUCCCCAUUGACAGACUAGGACAUUGAGGCUUAGAGCGGUUCCUCUCCAAAGGCACGCUGCUUGUAGAUGUCAGAGAGGAAUUGGGGUGUACGUUCCUUUGACUCCAGAGUCCUCCUCAAGCCGCCUUGGCUGGAGAAUGUGUCAAAACCCUGUGGUUCCCAAUUCCCUGACCGUCCUAGAGAGAAGCAUGGGGCAGGGGACCUCCUGAAGAAGCCACAAAGUGAGGCCAUGGGAGCAGGAGAAAACCAGGUGGUUUCUGAAGUUGGCUAUUCGUGUGAGGCACUCGGCAGACCGCUCAUCUGCCUAGAGCCUCAGGUUUCUCUAGUUGCUGUGAAAACCGACUAAAGAAGAAUCAGUGUUGUGCCAGGCCUGGUGUCUGGCUCACAACUGGUGCUCAGUACACGGUAGAGCCGCAUGUUGCUUCCUCGGCCCAGCUCCCCACGGUUCUCGACAGGGUUAUUUCUUAUGCCCAGGAAGAGUUUCUUCAGAGAGGCUGUGACUGGUGACUCCAAACCCAAGUUCUGUGUCACUCGGAUGUUCUUUGCCUGCACCUCGAACUCCUCCUGUCUCAGCACUUUCCACAUUGCUCUGUAGAUUGUUUACUUACCCACAUAUCUCUCCUCAGCUGAGGACUUGAUGUGGCAGGAAGUGUGUCCAGCUGGUUCACUGUGGAAAAUCAAGGUAUCAUCUAAGAGCCUAAAAUGCUAAAGUGAUUGAUGGGUAUCUGUUGCUGUGUAGACGUAUUGAUGGAUGGAUGGGAAGGUGGAUGGAUGGAUGAGUGGGAUGGAGGGAGUGAGGGAUGGAUAGAAGGACGGAUGGAUAGGUAGAUGAAAGGAGGACUCAUGGGGAGAGGGAUGGAUGGAUGGAAGGAUGGGUGAGUGGGUGGGAGGACUAAGGGUUCAGUGGAAGGCUGGGUGAGUGGAUAGAUGGAAGAAUGGACCAAGGUGUAGAGGGGUGGAUGGGUGGUUGGAUGGAUGGAUGAGUGGAUAGAAGGACUAAUGGAUGGGUGGACGGGUGAAUGGAUGGGAGGUUCAGUGUGAGGGUGGAUGGACUGCUGGGUGAGCUGGAUGAAUCAUUUGAUGUACAGAUAGCUGAAGUACCUUGGAUUAUAACAUUCCAUCACGUGCACACGCACUGGUGUUUUCAGGAACACUGUCCUGUUGACUCUUGACUUUUCGGCUUUUACCUUCCUGAGACAGGUAGGAGCAUUUCCCAAGGAUGGCCCUGCCCCAGUAGAAAAGGGCUACUGUCCAGCCCUUACCUCCCUGGGCAGGGCCAACCUUGGGUAUUUCCUAAACCUUCUGUUCCUUCACAAACUUACAGAAAGAAAGUUUUGAAUAUUUCUUUUUGGUAAGAAUCGAUGCCAAACUCUGUCACACAUUGCCGCAAGCUUUCCUCCAGUCUGGAAAAGGGGCUGCUUAGGAUUUCUGGAAUCUUAAAUUCCGCCUUUUUUGGUGUCUAUGGGAAGGCGGGAGACUGAGAGCAGCUGACGAUCAGGUUGCUGAUUGCUCCACUGACCAGGAGACAUCCCCACGGCCCUGCACUGCAUGCUGGGUACGUGGGGGCUGCGGUGCUGGAGUCUGGGUCUCGGCAGUGCCGGGGUCCCAGCGGGGAGAGAUCGGGGCUCAGGGAGAAGUGAGGGAGGGCAGGGCCAGUGGAACACUCUCAAGAUAAUCUGCUGCUCUUAUCUCGACAGUACGUUUCCCCAACAUGCAUACUCAAUGUACUUGAACUUGCAACCUUGGCAGCAAAAUAACAGCUUUAAUCUUUUGGGCCCCACGGGAGGCAGAUUUUGGUUUGGAGAAGGCUUGGCGGGCGACCCAUCCUGGGCUGGAUCUCAGAGACCAAGCUGUGUCCUUCUCACCUCCUUUUCUCCUCCAUGGCACUCGUCCUCACUCCUGAACCUCUCACUCAGGGGUCUCUCUCCCCCCACCCCCACACCCCCAGAAAGCUCUCAAAGUGGAAUCAGAUCAGUGCAGAUCCACAGAGGUAUGAAGGCCCGAAAAAGCUCUCGGCCACACCAGUGAUUGGAAUCAUUCCUGGGGUCUGAAAUUCCCAUUUGCAUUUGGCCAAAGAAAUUCAUAUCUUAGAUUCCCCAAGAAAGGAGGGGGUGGAGGUGGCCUGUCCAGAACUAUUGCGUUUACUCCCUGUGGGAAAGAGAAACAGGAUAAAAUGAAGGGUGGAAGGAAGAGAGGGGAGCCAAGGAGGAAGGGAAGAAGGGAUAUUUGAAAGGACGGGCGGAAAGAAGAGCGGGCAUGGCGUGUGAUGUUUAGGGAGCAUCUGUGUCAGUCAGGGUCUGAGCACAUGUUCAGACGUCUUCUCUGAUGUCCACAGCAGUCCGGCCAGGCACAUUGGUUGACGCACGUUUGCUAGAUGAGGGAAACGAGGCCCAGCAAAGUCAGCUCAAGUCAAGCCCAGCCUGAGGUCACACAGCAGCUGGAAUUGGCUGCCUCCUGUCUCUCCCUCUUGUCUCUCCCUUUUGCUGUGAUGAGGUGGCCAAGCAUGGCCUGCUGAGGGGUCAGUGGGACAGCAUGUCACUGUUAGGCGGUGACCAGGGCCUCUUUUUUGAGGUGACUCCUCCUUCUGAAACUCAGAUGCUGAAAUUGUCAGGCCUUAGAACCCACCACCUGGAGACGGCGGCCCAGUGAGAGGAAAGCUCUCGUCCAGGGACCUGCAGUUGUGUGAGGCAAGAGCUGGGCCCUGGUCUGUAGCCUCUGGAAGCCCAGCAUGGCUGUGCGGGGCCUGAUUGGAGGCUCCAACUCCGUUCUUGUGUGGAAGUAACCCAGGAGAACGAGAUGGAGGGUGUGAGGUGAUGACUUCCAGGCAGCCACCUUCACAUAGCUUCUCUGUGAUGGGGGAUCGCUGUGGUAUUCCUUUCAGAUACCGCUGCGUGGUCCAGAACGUCACCUCAUCCUUUCGGUCUAUUAGACUAUUUUGCAGACAUUACUAGAAAGCAUUCUGAAGCUAUCAGCUGUAUGCAGUGACCUUCGGCUUCAGAGGGAAGUUCAUGGGCAUGUUACUUUGACCUCCAUAGAUUGAGGUUGGUCCUAGGGGCUGAUAGGGAUUCCAGGAAAAGAAGGCUGAUAAGGUGUAGGGAGAAAGACACCUGGAGUCAGGAGGCUUGACUGGUUGGUGCUCACGCUUUGACUAAACUUCCUGCUGACAGUCUUCUCAUUUUUUAAAGCAAAUGAAGAUGGUACACCCAGGCUUUCCCGGAGCCUUCUUUCACCCAGUGCUCGUAACGGUGGCUCUGAGCAAGGGUCUCGCCCGUGGGGGGCCUUUGGAUUGUCCCCUUCGAUGGGAAUAAAACCCAGUUCCUUAGAGUGGUCUGUGGGGCCACUUCUCAGACCCUUGAUCCUCCAACCUCUCCUGCCCCCCCAUCCCUCUCAGGUCCUCAGAGCAUCAUGCGGCCCCUUCUGCGGGCGCCCGUCCUGGGACGCCAUCGACACCCCCCUUUUCAGGCCCACUUCCUCCUCUGCCUUGGUCUCGUCCCUAUUGUAAUUUCCCCAGGAGAGCAUUUAUUGAGCCUCACAUGCGUGUCUCCUUCUGUGUGUGUCUUCUCUCCCUCAGAACUCCCCUAAUCAUACUUUUAUUUAUGAAUUACCUUAAAGAACAAACAACAAAAAAACCCCUUAAUGGGAAACACCAUCAGCUUUGGGAUCGCGUUGGGUGAUGCUGGUCAUUGUAUUCCUACACUGAGAAUGAAUAUGUGAUAGAGUCACACCCGUGUGUGUUUGUAUGAAUGAACUGAUGGAGAGAGGGAUACAGAGGGAGAGCUGGAGGGGGGCAAAGAUGAUCCCCAGAUGUGGCUGACUUUUCUCCUCCAGGAAGACCUUAUAGUCAGUUACUGGCGGACUGGCCGGACGUGAUCCCGUUAAUACAGCUCCUUUGAAUUCCUUCUAAUUUCCCAGUUUCUCAUGGAAGCCCUGAAAGGAGAUUCCAUGCUCUCUGGACUCUGGCCAUCGGUGUUCAUCCCCCAGUCUGCUGCCCAUCCCCCAUUCUUUUAUUACCUACUUUCUUGAUCAAACUGUAAACCAACAAGAGAUGGUUCGGCAAUCAUUAACAGCUCUUCCUGGAAAAGGACUAGACACAUAAUUGUACCUUCUACAACAUUCACCCGGACCACUGUUCCCCCCCCGUGGCCACGCAUGUCCCCUGGAGCUGGACGAGUCACAAACAAGGCUCACAGCAGAGCAGGAGGGAGCAAGAAGAGAAAGAUCCAGAAAACAAUUCCCUCGUUAUAAAGUUGCUGAGAAGCUUAAGGCUGCUGCAUUUCGGUUGGCUGCUAAGUGAAUAUGUAACUACUUUAUAUAUUUCAACAAAAUUAAACUUAAACCUACAGAAUUAGGUUUAUUAAUUUCUGUCAGGGCUCAAUGGGGGAAUAAGAAUGGCCAUUCAUUAUGGACACACAAUUACUGGAGACAAAAAUGAAGCCUAGCUCUAUUAAGUAUAAUAAAAAUGUUGAACACUGAGGAAAUUUUCAUUAAAUAUAAUCUAUCCUUUAUAUUACUACACUUAAUCCUUGCUGUCUGCUUCUCUGUUUUUCUCCAACCUAUUUAAUUUUAUUACUUAACUUUUUAUAAAUGUUUCUUAAUAUAAUUAUGAUUAAAUAUUUGGGAGAAGAGAAGAAUGUUAGUCUCU